ACCGGCAAACGGGUGCGGAACACGUACACAACCUUCCUAUAAGUGGGGAAUAGCCCAGAGAAAUUUGGAUUAAUACCCCGUAACAUAACGAUGUGGCAUCACAUUGUUAUUAUAGCUUCGGCGCUUAUUGAUGGGUGUGCGGCUGAUUAGAUAGUUGGCGGGGUAACGGCCCACCAAGUCUACGAUCAGUAGCUGAUGUGAGAGCAUGAUCAGCCACACGGGCACUGAGACACGGGCCCGACUCCUACGGGAGGCAGCAGUAAGGAAUAUUGGUCAAUGGACGCAAGUCUGAACCAGCCAUGCCGCGUGAAGGAUUAAGGUCCUCUGGAUUGUAAACUUCUUUUAUCUGGGACGAAAAAAGGCUUUUCUAAGUCACUUGACGGUACCAGAUGAAUAAGCACCGGCUAACUCCGUGCCAGCAGCCGCGGUAAUACGGAGGGUGCAAGCGUUAUCCGGAUUCACCGGGUUUAAAGGGUGCGUAGGCGGGCAGGUAAGUCAGUGGUGAAAUCCUGGAGCUUAACUCCAGAACUGCCAUUGAUACUAUCUGUCUUGAAUAUUGUGGAGGUAAGCGGAAUAUGUCAUGUAGCGGUGAAGUGCCUAGAUAUGACAUAGAACACCUAUUGCGAAGGCAGCUUACUACGCAUAUAUUGACGCUGAGGCACGAAAGCGUGGGGAUCAAACAGGAUUAGAUACCCUGGUAGUCCACGCCCUAAACGAUGGAUACUCGACAUACGCG
rnacentral:rRNA from 1 species